rnacentral:rRNA from 1 species
GAUGAACGCUGGCGGCGUGCCUAAUACAUGCAAGUCGAGCGAACAGAUGAGGAGCUUGCUCCUCUGACGUUAGCGGCGGACGGGUGAGUAACACGUGGAUAACCUACCUAUAAGACUGGGAUAACUUCGGGAAACCGGAGCUAAUACCGGAUAAUAUAUUGAACCGCAUGGUUCAAUAGUGAAAGACGGUUUUGCUGUCACUUAUAGAUGGAUCCGCGCCGCAUUAGCUAGUUGGUAAGGUAACGGCUUACCAAGGCAACGAUGCGUAGCCGACCUGAGAGGGUGAUCGGCCACACUGGAACUGAGAAACGGUCCAGACUCCUACGGGAGGCAGCAGUAGGGAAUCUUCCGCAACGGGCGAAAGCCUGACGGAGCAACGCCGCGUGAGUGAUGAAGGUCUUCGGAUCGUAAAACUCUGUUAUUAGGGAAGAACAAAUGUGUAAGUAACUAUGCACGUCUUGACGGUACCUAAUCAGAAAGCCACGGCUAACUACGUG